rnacentral:rRNA from 1 species
AAUGGACGCUGGCGGCAUGCCUAACACAUGCAAGUCGAACGAAGGCUUCGGCCUUAGUGGCGCACGGGUGCGUAACGCGUGGGAAUCUGCCCUCAGGUUCGGAAUAACAGCGAGAAAUUGCUGCUAAUACCGGAUGAUAUUGCGAGAUCAAAGAUUUAUCGCCUGAGGAUGAGCCCGCGUAGGAUUAGCUAGUUGGUGUGGUAAAGGCGCACCAAGGCGACGAUCCUUAGCUGGUCUGAGAGGAUGAUCAGCCACACUGGGACUGAGACACGGCCCAGACUCCUACGGGAGGCAGCAGUGGGGAAUAUUGGACAAUGGGCGAAAGCCUGAUCCAGCAAUGCCGCGUGAGUGAUGAAGGCCUUAGGGUUGUAAAGCUCUUUUACCCGGGAUGAUAAUGACAGUACCGGGAGAAUAAGCUCCGGCUAACUCCGUGCCAGCCGCCGCGGUAA